GUUGUUUACGUCCGACUUGUCCGGGAAUGGAGCAGAGAAAGAGGAACCAGAAGAAAGAGAAACUCGCGACAACAGAGUUGCCGAAAGAGAAGUGUUGGCGCCUCAAACUUGAGGAUCAGCUUCUUGGGCCCCACUCCAGGGUGUCGCGGGGGUCGGGUUCUUUCCGCCGCCCCCCGAAAGAUUCUCAGCUAACCCUUUCCCCGCCGAGACCAAGAGGCCCUCACUCUGACACCACUCCGGGAGCCAAGCUACUGUAAGGAGCUGAUACCACCCCUCGCCGGCGCGAACCGCCCAUCUCCCCAGACCCGCCCACCCCCUGCUGCGAAUCCCUGACGUUCUAGCCCGGCGAAGGUCCUCUUAAAUUAGGAAACAAUAGCUAUUUAAGAAGAAGCGCAAAUAACCCGCGCUCUGCGCGCCCAAUCGUGGGAUUCUUGGGAGUUCCCCGCGGGCAAGGAAGUCUGCUGCUCCCCGCAGCUGCGGAGGAGAGGAGGGAGCCUGCGUGCUGGGGCAGGGUGUCGCGAACUUGGGGCAACCCACCUCCAGAGCCCCGCCCCCGCUUUCCCGCCUGCCGGGGACCUGCCGAACGCGGAACCACCCUCCUUCCUGAGGCAAAUUUGGGAGGGGAGAGGUCCAGAAGCUGUAGAGUCGGGGCGCCAAGCGCCAGAUUCUGCCGCUCGGAAGUUGGGGGCAGUCCCCAGUCCCGCCUCAGGCCCCCGCGCUCACAGGGCGCUCCGCCGAGGGCGCGGGCCAGGCGCGCGGUGUCACCUCCACGAAGUCAUUUACUUGCCCUGAAGGAGCUGGCCCUCGACCCCUUGGAGGAUGGAGAUUCCUCCCAUUCCCUCCUCCGCCUCCCCCAGGUCGGCGAAGAGACGUGGAAUUGAGCUGGACCGAUGAUUCCGCGAGCUCUGUAAUUAUGCACACACUGAAAUCUUCACCGUUGACUUAAGUUACUUGGCGCUGCGAGGGCUGGGGCCCUGCAUAUUGAUUAAAUGCAGCCUCUAUUUACCUAAACAAUAAAUGUAGAGAUUAGCAACGUUCACUUGAUCACAAUAAUGGGAUUGACAAUUAAGGGGCAAUGCAUCCCAGAUGUAGCGGAACCUAUGGGCUGCGUGCAGCAGGCAGAGGGCUUCUCAGAGAGGGGCGCUGGGCAGUUGCGGCGGCGGAGGUAGUGCAGAGCAGGAAGCAGCGCGGAAGCACAGCGGGAGGCGGAGGGGGACGCCCAGCCUCGUCAAGGUCUUCGGCCACCCCGCCCGGGAGGCUCGAAACUGGCUUUGGGGUACCUGAAUGCCUCGACUCCCAGGGAGACAUCGGGAGCUCGGAGCCACUCUCCCUGUGGCGAUGGCACCUGCCUCAAGGCCGUCUCGCUUGCUGAUGCCUGGCCGGGAAGGAGGAUGGACGCCGCUGGCAUGUGCCCUGGCUCUGGAAAAACUGGCAGGAAUUUCCUUGUCGUGAGAAGAUGGACGAGUGUGUCUGCAGCCGAGGAGACAACUACAAACAGACUUUGGGCAGGGAAGGCGGGCGGGCGGGGGUGGGGGUGGGGGCGGGGGCCUGCUUUGAUCGCUCCAGCUCUGUUGUAAUUUUGUCUUCGCCAGAUAGAUUAGCUGGAACCGCCAGCCCUAGCUUGGAGUUCCGUUCCACGGAGUACCCUCCCUCCCCACCCCCAGCGUCAUCUCGCGCCUGGAGCCGGGUCGCCGCUCCUUCCGAAGUCUCGCUGGAAACUUCAAGGGCUGAUGGUUCUGUGUUCUUGACGUAAUUAGGAGGCCACGCAGCUCUCCAACACUCCGUUAAACAAAUAUCUCUUUCUUAGGAAGCGGAGAGAGGGGCAGAAAACGUGCACCUCGCCACCCACCGGACAAGCCGAGAGGACCUUGUCUUUGCUUGAAAAGUUUUCUAGAUAAAUCGCUCGGGUGGUUCUAAGCUAUGACGAACUAGAGGCUGGGCCCGGUUCUUCUCCAGAACAGCGUGUGGAUGUAAAGGAGAUGAAAUCGUCCUCCCCCACUGCUUUCUUUUUCUUCCCCAUAUAAAUCAGUCAUAUAAUUCAUUCGCAUUGUUUAAGGUACAUUGAUCAAUCUAAUGGCUUGUAAUAGUCUCCUAAUUGCCACUUGCAGACUCCUGCAGGCUCAGAUUUGAAGAGGGAAGGUUCCAGCCAAGUCCACCUUAAGCCUGAGUUUGGGCGACUACAGAAUCCAGGAAGAAAAUCUAGAUGGCAUGGUCGCUCCGGUCUCAGUUCUACAGGGGAGGGAAGAAAGGGGGUGUUAGUGGGGAUAUUUGCUGUUCAUUUUUCCCGCAAUCUCCCUUCCAAAUCAGUCACUGAUUAAUGAGCAAAGCCCAUGCCACAAGUUAUAGAUUACUGUGGACUGAGGAUCAUUUUGUUAAUAUCAGGCAAGAAACUUGCCUUACUUGCAUCCCUGUGUCUGUAUUUACAGUAACAACUUCCUUAGUCACAAACUGAUAUGCUUUUAGCCAUACCUUUUCUUCUUACUUACUUAUUUUUAGCAUCAUCAGGAGUUGGGAUAGGAAAUAACAUGGGGGAGGGGUGUGUUAAAGGGAAGGAAGGAAAAGCCAUCCUUUAUCCCAGAGUGUCCUGGAGGUAUGCCUACACUCCUGUUUAACAUCUUGUGGUUGUAGUGCCUUCUCCAAGCCCUGGAUGGAGGAGGAAAGAGUUGGAAGCCUCCUCAAAUCUGCCUAUGAAAGGGUAAAACUGAGGAAACUGGUACCCUAGCUAUGAGAAGCUGAGUAAUGAUCAGAAUCCUCUGGCCUCUGGCUUUUCUUGAUAUUAGUUCAGGUCUAUGCAAAAAAAUUGCUUUAGUGUCUCCAAAGGUGGUUCCAUUAGAGUUGGCUGAGACAAUACAUGUGCAUCAUUUUGGAAGAGAUGCUCUUAAAAAGAAGAAAGCCACUACAGAAUGCCACAUUUGCUUAGGUCUAAGACCCUUCUGUGGUAGUCGGUGAGGGAGGGAGGAAAGUAAAACCCCAAGCUGAAUAGGCCCCCCAUAGUUUCCGAGUGAUGCAGUAAACAAAUCUAUGAUGCUUGUUGAAUAAUCUUCCAAUAAUUGCAGUCAUUAAAAUCAUCACACAGUCUACAGUCACCUUCCUUCCUUUGACACACCAGUCUUUCCCUUAAUUGUUAAUGCAUUUUUGGCUCAGAUAAACACAUAGAGGCCAGCUUAAAAUAUAUGGCCCAGAUACAUCUAACAGCAGAAAAUUAGUUGUGUAACAAACGUUUGGACUGUGCUUAAUAGACUAGGGGUUUUCAAUUUCUUCAGCAGACCCUACAGAGGCAAGAAAGAUUUGCAUCUUCUACCACUGCUAAAUAGCAGUGACGCCUCUGAGAUACAAAAAAAAAAAAAAAAGAAAAAAAAGAUGAAAGUCCCAUUGGCCUAUUGAAUCUUCCUUGCUCUUUCAUUUGCAAGGGUUGGGCUGGAAUUAGGACAUUAUAGAACAAAUAUUAAAGGAAAGCUUAACAGAAACUGUGGGAGAGUUCCUCAAUUUUCAAUUAAUUUUCUCCAUCCAUUUGAUCUCAACAACUGGUGCUUUAAAAAAUAUAAAUAUGUGUCAACUAUAAAAGAUUCCCUGCUAAUCAAAGGCUGUAUUUCAUUUUCACCCACCACUGACAAGACACCAACCGUGGAAAGGAUUCACCCGACUCAACAGGCACUAUGGACCUUCCUGGGCUUCCUUCUCCCUUGUUCAUGGCAGGCAACAUUGGUACACAAGGGCAGCUUUUUCUUUUUUUAACUCAAGUUAUUAAUGUAUCUCCGCAACUCCCACACCGUGCUGACCUGAUAAUCACUGCUCUAGUGAAGAUCAUGCAAAUGAAAAGCAUAAUUAAUUGCACAAAUGAUUUAAAAAGGAGCGCUGUGGCUUUGCAAAUAAAUAAAGGCAGUUGGGAGGACAGGUCAGAUAAAUGCUUUUUAUAGGCUGGGCUCCCUUCACCCCCACCCCCGCCUCCUGGUCCCGGUGGUCCAGACUUUGACUGCAGCCAGCCUGGCCAAGGCGAGCACCUUCCGUUCCUCCUCCCCUAACGCCUCCCCUUCAACCUUAUUCCGGAGUCCCCCUAACUCCACCUCACCCCACCCCAACCUCACCCCACCCCAGUGGUGUAUACCCGCUGCUAGACUCUGUGCUAGGUCAAAGCUCCGGGGAGACUGGGCAGCCACCUAAUAUUUAACCAGCUACUACAUAUCCAGUUAUUCAGAAAAUAACUGGUCCUCCCAGUCGCCACUACGCUUCCUGCACAUCAGGAAGAAGCAUUUUAUCUGUGGCUAUUGGACCUGUGAAGGAGGUCCAAUCCUUCCGAUUAGCGCUAAUGACCGAAUUGUUUCCCUGGCUUUGCCUGCUAAACAGAGCAACUUGAGCAGUUGCUCAGAUCAAAGCUCCCGGGAGAGGCAAGAUGGGA
rnacentral:lncRNA from 1 species